CAAUGGCACAGUGGUAGUUGCUGCCUUACAGCGCCAGAGACCCAGGUGUGAUCCUGACCACAGUUGCUGUCUGUACAUGGUUUG